rnacentral:lncRNA from 1 species
AUAUGCAGUUAAAGUUAAUGGACAAAGAUGAUAAGGUGAAGAUCUUCAAGCAGUGUUUAAUAGGAGUUCUAGGAGAAAUGAAUUGAACAGUACAAUGGUAAAUAAAAUUUAGAAACAGAGACAUAUUAACUGAAAAGAUGUUGUAAAAAAAUUAAAACUGUGAGAAAAUGCAGAUUAUUUGUAUACACAUACACUUUUCAUAUUUGAAGAAAAUUAUAGAGGUUGUCAUUAAUUUAUUAGCACUUUGAUGUUAUUAGUUUUUCUGCAUACAGUUCCCUAUACUUUAGUAGGUGAAACAUAGUUCUCUUCUUUCAGUGACUGAAUAAUAAUUUAACCAUUCCUCUGUUACUAGAUAAUCACUCUGUGAAGUUUGAAGUCACUCCAGAUACAAACAACAUAAUUUUGCUCUAAUCUUCUUAUUUAUAUAUGCUUUAUUUUAUAGGAGAGAUUCCCAGAACUGUGUCUCUUGGGCAAAAAGCUAUUCAUAUUUUUAAUUAGAAGACAUGUUGUCAUAUUUAUUCUUUUCAAAAUUUUAAAUAUUCACAAUUUUGAUUAGUGAUAUAUAAAUGGACACUUUUUACUGAAUUUCUAACAAAAAUAGAUGGUCUUUAUUUUUUUAACAAAUUAAUUUUUAGAAAUUAUACUCUAUUAUAAAUUGUAUGCCUCUGAUAUCUAGAAAAGGUUGAAAUCUUUUCUUACCUACUACUUGCUGCUGGAAUUUCUUCUUAUCUGAAUUGCCUAUUAAUAAUAUUUAAGUUUCUGUUUGUUCAUUUAUUGACCAUUCCAUAAGAUUCUGAUUUACAAUUGGACUUAUAAUAUAUAGCAGUUUAAAAAAGGAAUAUAAUUCUGGAGUGUUUAAAAUAUGCUGUAUCUGGAUCUAAAUUAUAAUUUAAUGUAUAUUUAUUUUCUAAAAGUGAUUGAAUUGUACACUUUAUAUUUGAUACUAAUUUUUAAAUUUUUAUAAAUAACACGUUGUUAGUUUCACAAAUUCUAAAGCCUAUUUAAAUGCCACCACUGAUGGCUUUUACUUCUUUCAUGAGUUUUUUAAAAAAAAUUUUCAUCAACAAUACCUGUGUUGUUAGCGUGAUAUAGCACAGAAAACAAUGAACACUGUGAAUCCAAUUCUAAAAAUGACUCAGAACAGACAGAUUUUGAAUGUGAUGAUGUCCUAAAAAUGUGAAACUCAUUUCAUGUAUGUUGUGAGGCAGAUAAUACUGUAUAUUCUUUCUGUUGUGCAAGCUAAAUUGCUAUCUACCUUUUCCCCCACUAUUUUGAAGUAGAAUUUUUUUAAUAAAUUAAAUUCCUACAUAUAUUCUCUUUAUUUCUGGGUUUUAUAUUUUGACUAACAUAUGCAUCUUUUUAAUGUCUGCACCUUUAUUAUAUAUUUGGUAUUUCUUGCUUUAAUAUAUGAUGACCAAGUUCCCUCUCAAUGUUCCUCUUUUGAAAAUUAACUCUAAAAGCAAAAAUUAUGUUCACAUUAAAAAUAUAAAAAUAGCCAUUAAGGAGUAGAAGGAGUAUGUAUGUCUUCUGAUUUAGUAUGGGAGGGGAAAGAAGAAAAUAUUAUUAAUCCAAUUAAAGUCAGGAAAAUAGAAAAUAAGCAUCACAGAAAAAUCAGACAGAACAGUGAACACAUGAACUAGAUGGUUUACAGUCAGAAAAUCAUGAGAGAAAUUCAUUUAGAGGAUAGAUAUGAGAAAUUCAUUGUGCAAAUAAGAAGUUUAACAGAAGAGGAGAAGGAAUUGGAUAAGGAACAAAACUAUCUAUACAUAUAUAUUUGUAAUCAAUUAUAUCUGCCUUCUAUCUCUCUACCACUUUGCCCUUAGAAAGUCAAGAAUACAUAUUCAAGAAUAUGUAAUAGUCAAAUAAUUCCUAACAAAUUCCAAAAAAUGAGUGUUCUUUGACAUGUUCUUUGACCACAAUACUGUAAAGUUAAACUUUUAUAAUUUCUGAUCAAAGCUUAAAAGUAAUAAUAAGAUACUAAAAUAGAUGUUGAAACUAUGUGUAAUACAUAAGAAAACACAAGUUUUUAUAAACUAUUAAUUACAUAUCAAACUCUAAGGAGAUAUUUUAUAUUGAAGAAAAAUUUAUUCUUUUAGGUUCGAAAUUCUCUAAUAUAAGUUAGUUGAGAAAAUAGAUCCAGAAUAUGGAAAUUCAAUUUGCAAAUAUUUUCAUAUAUCAAUAAUGUAUAAAUUCAAAAAAUAUUCUCUCCUUUUCUUCAGGCAAUAUCACAUUUCCAACAUAAAGAGUAUCUUAAAAAUACACAAAUUUUUCUGUAAGAAUUACAUUUGUACCAUUUCAUUGCAAGAGUACCAUCCUAAAUUAUUUGCCCUUCCUUAUCCACACUCAUGCUUUUAUUCCUGUUUGCUCUUGAGUAUGUUACUUUUUGAAUGGAAAGAGCAUUGGAUUUAAGACAAAGAAGUUUAAGUUCAGCUCUCAUUUCUACCCCUUAAUUUUGGGGUAACAUUAAGCAGAAGGAUUCACUUAUUUGAUUCAUUAAUUUUUAAUUUUAAAAUAUAGAUAAUUAUAAAACUCUGAUUGUUAUAAGGGAAAUAAAAUUGUGGUGAACAUUAGUGCUUAAAACAUUCCAGUUGUAUACAGAUGGACUUUCUCUUUACGCUGAAUGACAAAAUUAUUUAUUUUCAAAAAACAGAAUCGAUAUCACUGCUUCCAUUUCUCUGAUGCCUUUCUUUGCUUCUCUUUAUCAUCUCAAUGUAGAAUUAAGUUGUUUUUUUUUUCCCAUGUCAUUUCACUGUUCUUGAGCAGUCAUUUGCUCUACACUUAGUCCACAUUAUUGCAAUUAUUUGGUUAAGUUUCUCUGUUUCCCUAUAAUGAUGAAAUCUGAAAAUAUGCACUUUAUACUUUAACCAGUGUUAGAUAUAGAAUUGUAAGAUGCAAGUGUAUCAGAUAAGGAGCUUUUAGAGAGAGGGGAAGUAACCUUGUUGGCUUAAGUACUUAGAGAAUUCUGAGUACUAUAAUGACAUUGGAUUUCCUAGCAUGAUGAUAAAGAGAGGUUAUGCAGUGUUUGCAGGACUGUGACCUUAAGAGUCAGGACACUUGCAGGCAAGCAAAUGGGGAAAAUUUUCCCAUUAAGAAGAUAAAAUUUAUAUAAUGUUCUUCUCCUAGCUAUCCUGGUUAUGGAUAUUCUAACCAUGCUUAUUGGAAUUUAAAGGGAAAACAAAUCAAGAAAUUGAGAGAUAUAUAGCUUUGACAAGUAAGUCUUGUAAACAUAAAUUUUUAUCAUAAAGUUUAUAGUGAUUUGACCAUUUUUAUUGAACAUCAUGUGAAUUAUAAAAUGUUACAGUUGUCCCUACAAGAUGAUAAAAAGGAAAGUGCUUGUUCUUUUGUAACUAAUUUUACCUUAAAGAAUAUUCACACUUUCUUGUUGAGGAGAGAGGGUUGUUGUUGUUGUUGUUGUUAGUUUUAUUUUGAAGGAACUAUCUCUGAUUUGACCUCAACAUUGUGUAGGACUUUAAAAAAUAAAACUGAUUGUUACCGUGAAGACAGCCUCAGGUAUAUUCUAGCUUGUAUUCCCCAAUGCCAUCUAUGAUGUCAGUAUAUAGCCUGUGAAAAUAUGAAAUAAUCU